ACGGGCAUAUAACGUUGAAACACCAGUUCUUGUACGAUCACUGAAGUUAAGCAACGUGGAGACUGGUCAGUACCUUGAUGGGUGACACCUUGAGAAUACCAGGUGCUGUA